UACGUAGGGGGCAAGCGUUAUCCGGAUUUACUGGGCGUAAAGGGCGUGUAGGCGGCUUUGCAAGUCAGAGGUGAAAUUCCUGGGCUCAACCCGGGCGCUGCUUCUGAAACUGUAGAGCUUGAGUGCUGGAGGGGAUAGCGGAAUUCCUAGUGGAGCGGUAAAAUGCGUAGAUAUUAGGAAGAACACCGGUGGCGAAGGCGGCUAUCUGGACAGUAAUUGACGCUGAGGCGCGAAAGCGUGGGGAGCAAAC
rnacentral:rRNA from 1 species